AUUGAACGCUGGCGGCAUGCCUUACACAUGCAAGUCGAACGGUAACGGGCCUUCGGGUGCCGACGAGUGGCGCACGGGUGCGUAAUACAUCGGAACGUGCCCGAUCCUGGGGGAUAACGAGGCGAAAGCUUUGCUAAUACCGCAUACGAUCUACGGAUUAAAGCAGGGGACCGCAAGGCCUUGCGCGGACGGAGCGGCCGCUGGCGGAUUAGGUAGUUGGUGGGGUAAAAGCUUACCAAGCCGACGAUCUGUAGCUGGGCUGAGAGGAUGAUCAGCCACACUGGGACUGAGACACGGCCCAGACUCCUACGGGAGGCAGCAGUGGGGAAUUUUGGACAAUGGGCGCAAGCCUGAUCCAGCAAUGCCGCGUGCAGGAUGAAGGCCUUCGGGUUGUAAACUGCUUUUGUACGGAACGAAAAGCCUUCUUUUAAUACAGGAGGGUCAUGACGGUACCGGAAGAAUAAGCACCGGCUAACUACGUG
rnacentral:rRNA from 1 species